GUACUCACUUUGGCAGCAUGUAUACUAAAACUGAAACAAUACAGAGAAGAUUAGCAUGACCUCUAUGCAAGGGUGACACACUAAA
rnacentral:snRNA from 1 species